rnacentral:lncRNA from 13 species
GAAGUAUCAAGCACUCUGGGCCCAGACCAACUUUUCCAAGGGAGCGCCAGUGUCCAUCUGGUCCAGCUUAGCCCCCACGGCAUCUUUGGCUUCAUCAUCUGCAGGGCAGAAGUGCUAGACUCCUUUCUCCUCUGACCACCUGAGGCCAGCCCCCAACUGCAAAGGUGAUAUCAGACCUCAGGUCCAGAGCAGCCCAGUCCCCAGUUUCAUGGCAUCAAGCCUUGUGUUCCAAACCCUGUGGUCUGCUUGGGAGCAGGGGACGUGAUCCUCUUCCAGCUUCAUAUCCUUGCCCACACCCCGUAGGACAGAAGCUGGGGGCUCAGGAAGAAGAAUUGACAGCCAUGCUCAGCAAAAGGCCUCCUUGUGUGGAAGAACUGCCAGACCGCUCAGCCAGCCACUACCCCGUGUACCAGAAGCAGCAUCUGUUCAACAGCAACCCCCACUGGGACUCCGGGGCCUUCUGCAGACUCAGCCACUUGGUGCAAGAGACGCGCCUCAACUUCUCAAGGUUUGCUCACCAGUUCCUAGAUCCAGGCACAUGUGUGUUUCAAGACAACGGGCAGCCAGAGAGCCUGGCCGUGGUGCUGGUGAAGGAGGAGGGGGUGGCCUGUGGUCCCCGCCUGUCCCCUGUGCAGCCCUCAUCCCCGUAUCAGCUGGGCAGACACGGCAUCCUCAGGCACAGGCUUCCAAACCUGGGCCCAAACUGGGCGGUGAUCACAGGGGUGCUGCUGGCUGUUGGCUUAGCGACUGUGCUGUUGACAGGCCUGGGCCUCCUGCUGAGGCCCUCCCUGCCCCAUACCUGCCCCAUACCUGCCCCAUACAGGCUUGGAGGCCUGGGUGGAGAAGCCUGGGACAGCCUCAGGUGCCUGCUGAGUAUGUGCUCCUCAGGAACAGGAGAGCCGCUCCGGUCCCAGACCCUGGAGGACUUCAGCAUCUGCACACUCUACAACAAGCUUGAGGACCAGAACUUGCAUGUUGCUUCCCAGCUAAGCAAGCAUAGGAGUGAUGCCCUGGCCUUCUACAGGGCCACUGCCCAGCAGCUCCAGUGGCUCCAGGACUCUCAGCAGGACCUCAGCAGGACUGAGCUGCAAGCUCUGGGCAGGGAUGGAAACCCUGAGACAGAUCCCAAAGCCACAGCCAGGGCAGACACUGGGCAGAGCGAGGAACCAUGGGACAGCCACACUGCAGCUUCUCUGAGGGAGUGCCAGCAGCCUCCUCCACACACCAGCAGGACCCAUGACUCCCAGACAUCCCCCAGGGUGAUGCUAAAGGAGGAGAUGCUGAGAGCCCAGGACCUGGGGAGUGGAUAUUUGAGGCUGAACAUGGGCAUGAAGCCACUCCUGAGCUGCAGAUAUACUGUAAACUCCACGGAAGUUCACCAAUGUGCUCCCAGAAU